AGAGUUUGAUUCUGGCUCAGAUUGAACGCUGGCGGCAUGCCUUACACAUGCAAGUCGAACGGCAGCACGGGAGCAAUCCUGGUGGCGAGUGGCGAACGGGUGAGUAACGUAUCGGAACGUACCUUUCAGUGGGGGAUAACGUAGCGAAAGUUACGCUAAUACCGCAUAUUCUGUGAGCAGGAAAGCAGGGGAUCGCAAGACCUUGCGCUGAUUGAGCGGCCGAUAUCAGAUUAGCUAGUUGGUGAGGUAAAGGCUCACCAAGGCGACGAUCUGUAGCGGGUCUGAGAGGAUGAUCCGCCACACUGGAACUGAGACACGGUCCAGACUCCUACGGGAGGCAGCAGUGGGGAAUUUUGGACAAUGGGGGCAACCCUGAUCCAGCCAUUCCGCGUGAGUGAAGAAGGCCUUCGGGUUGUAAAGCUCUUUCAGCCGGAACGAAACGGUACGCACUAAUAUUGUGUGCUAAUGACGGUACCGGCAGAAGAAGCACCGGCUAACUACGUGCCAGCAGCCGCGGUAAUACGUAGGGUGCGAGCGUUAAUCGGAAUUACUGGGCGUAAAGCGUGCGCAGGCGGUUUGUUAAGAUAGGCGUGAAAUCCCCGGGCUCAACCUGGGAACUGCGUUUAUGACUGGCAGGCUAGAGUAUGGCAGAGGGGGGUGGAAUUCCGCGUGUAGCAGUGAAAUGCGUAGAGAUGUGGAGGAACACCGAUGGCGAAGGCAGCCCCCUGGGCCAAUACUGACGCUCAUGCACGAAAGCGUGGGUAGCAAACAGGAUUAGAUACCCUGGUAGUCCACGCCCUAAACGAUGUCAACUAGGUGUUGGGUGGGUAAAACCAUUUAGUACCGGAGCUAACGCGUGAAGUUGACCGCCUGGGGAGUACGGCCGCAAGGUUAAAACUCAAA
rnacentral:rRNA from 1 species